rnacentral:rRNA from 1 species
UACGAAGGGGGCUAGCGUUGUUCGGAAUUACUGGGCGUAAAGCGCGCGCAGGCGGUUCUCCAAGUCAGUGGUGAAAGCCCGGAGCUCAACUCCGGAACUGCCAUUGAAACUGUUGAACCUGAGGACGAGAGAGGUGAGUGGAAUUCCCAGUGUAGAGGUGAAAUUCGUAGAUAUUGGGAAGAACACCGGUGGCGAAGGCGGCUCACUGGCUCGUAUCUGACGCUCAGGCGCGAUAGCGUGGGGAUCAAACAGG